UAAGAUUAGUUGCCCAGCACGUUCUUGCAGAUCAAAGGCAUGUUUAUCGUGGGUGUGCGGCCAUGAUGGAAAUAGUGUUUACAUAAACGAACAUGGUAAAAUCAAAUGUGCCCAUAGUGAGAAGAGUGAAGGUAUACACAUAGCUGACGUAUGUCAAUCGGGGUGGACAUGUGGAGACAGUUCUCACAAAGACGAGUACAUCAAAUCGGAUUUCGAUAGUUUUGUGUUUACAGUUUCUGAUGCUUUAAAAUUCAGUAGUAAACAAUCAUCAAGUUGGAUUUUUACGUUAACUUCAUCGUUAGGAAGACAAUUCGGUGUGUGAAUGCAAUACUUAUGCUAAUAACUGGAAACGUUGAAAAAUUCAAAUAAUAACUAAGUUAAUAGUUUAAUAAAAUUGCAUAAUAAAAUACGUACGCCUUUGUUGAUUACACAGUGUU